rnacentral:sRNA from 1 species
CAGAAAAACACGUUUAUUUCCUUUGUGUAACUAUAAGCUUACAUAUCUUAUUCAACAUAAAAAUUGUAAAGUGAAGACAAUUACAAAAUAUAGAAGUGCUAGACAAAUUUAAAAUGCAAUUAUUAGAAAAAUACAACUCAAAAUUCACGCAUUUUAUCAAAAAAUAUGUCUGCAAGGUGUGUGUGUGUGUGUGUGUGUGUGUGUGUCCACGUAUAUUAAACAAAUACAAUAUUCGUGUUCUUUCUUGGUUUUUAGAAGAAUAAUCACUAUACGCCAAGGGUUGGCUUAGAACUCAGUAUGCAGGUAGCCCAGGAUAGUACUCCUCCAUUUCACAUUUCUGAUUAUUAAUCGUGGCUCUGUGCAUUUAAGUAAAACUAAUUUGGCUGCAUCUUGUUUCUUCUGUGUUAGGAGGCAGACCAGCUAACUGGGAGCCUGGGAAGAGGAGGUUCCAGCUGUGGUUCUAAGCACACCUUUUACCACCAGGAGGAAAUAUGAGGUGUGAAGUAUUUCUGGCAGAAGCUCAAGAAUUACUGAGAAUGAAAAGGAAGACCACAGGGUGGGUCAGUAGCAGGAUUUUUCAUAUAAAACACACACCGAAAGUGCCAAAGACAUACGCUGCUUUAUUGUGGACAGAUGUUUUACUCUAUACUAAAAAUAAUCUUUUUUAAAAAAUUUGUAUGUGCUUAUGUUUGGAAACCCUCAUGAACAUCAAUAAAGAGAGCAGAGACACAAAGAAAAUUGGGCAAACCCCCUUUUCAUCCCCCACAUCAACAUUCCCAUCAGCAGCCAUGGUGCCUUUCAUGCUGUUGACUUUCCUUAGCCAUCUCAGGUACAGAGCAUGAACAGCAAACACCAGCAGUGAGUCUGUGCUAGCUUAUGAACCAAGUGCUCAAGGCAAACGCAGAACCGCCUUGGCAGACAUGCUAGCGGCUUCCACAGCAGCAUGCCAUCUCCCUCGCCACUCCCCGGGUUCUGUCUCAUGCACUAGUGGGCCUCACCAGUGACUGAGUUAUUAAUCAGAAGUGGCCCACAUAGCCUAGUCAUUAGAAACCCACUUCUCUUUGGAGGGUGUUUU